CAGCCGCUGCAAAACCAAAGCCGUUAGAUCCUCCAAGUACUAUAGCGUUUUUACACAUAGGCUCGAGAAUUGGUUUAGACAACUCGGCACUAAAAUUGAAAUUUAAAAAAAAAAAAAUGAUACGAAAGCUACUGAAAUGACAGAACAGAACAAAACCUUUGUGAUUAAAUGGAAAACUAACGUAGAAUUAAAUACGUCUCUUCGGAAAAUAAAAAAAGACGCAACGAAAGUAUCAUAUUACCUUGGAUUCUUAUCGAGGAGUUUGAAGGAAAGUAAGGUUAAAUACCGUGAUAGCAUGUUGCUUGAAAAUAUAAUCUUUCCUUGUGAUUAAUAUUAUAAAUUUUUGAAUAUAAAGUAAUAAAGUAUGUACACAAGAAAGAAAAAAAGUAAUAAUAAACGGAAAUGAACGGCAAAUGCAACAUUAAAUGAAUAAACAGGGAAUUUAGAAAUAAUUUUGACCGAAAGUUGGAUAGUUACAUUUUGCAUUUGUCAACGUCACGUGUUGACAUUCGUUUUUCUAUCAAUUCAUAAAGAAUAUAUUCGCUUGUUCAUAAUAUCACAUUGGUUGAAUUACAUUGCCAUAACGAUAUGCUAAUAAUUAAUAAAAUAUGUAAAAUAAUAAUUAAAAUCAAUAUU